rnacentral:rRNA from 1 species
ACUCAAAGGAAUUGACGGGGGCCCGCACAAGCAGCGGAGCAUGUGGUUUAAUUCGAAGCAACGCGAAGAACCUUACCAGGUCUUGACAUCCAUUUAAAGCCAUGGAAACAUGGUGUCUCGCAAGAGGAAAUGAGACAGGUGGUGCAUGGUUGUCGUCAGCUCGUGUCGUGAGAUGUUGGGUUAAGUCCCGCAACGAGCGCAACCCCUGCAUUCAGUUACCAGCGGUUAAAGCCGGGGACUCUGGAUGGACUGCCGUGGAGAACACGGAGGAAGGUGGGGACGAUGUCAAAUCAUCAUGCCCCUUACGACCUGGGCUACACACGUGCUACAAUGGCCGCGACAAAGAGAAGCAAAGGAGUAAAAGCCGGAGCGGAACUUAGAAAAGCGGUCCCAGUUCGGAUUGUGGGCUGCAACCCGCCCACAUGAAGCAGGAGUUGCUAGUAAUCGCGAAUCAUCAUGUCGCGGUGAAUGCGUUCCCGGGCCUUGUACACACCGCCCGU